UACGUAGGGUGCAAGCGUUGUCCGGAAUUAUUGGGCGUAAAGAGCUCGUAGGCGGUUUGUCGCGUCUGCUGUGAAAACCUAGGGCUUAACCCCGGGCCUGCAGUGGGUACGGGCAGACUAGAGUGCGGUAGGGGAGACUGGAAUUCCUGGUGUAGCGGUGAAAUGCGCAGAUAUCAGGAGGAACACCGGUGGCGAAGGCGGGUCUCUGGGCCGUAACUGACGCUGAGGAGCGAAAGCGUGGGGAGCGAACAGG
rnacentral:rRNA from 1 species